CCAGGUCAGUUUCCCUUUCCAAGUUUUACGGCCUGCCAUGUUGUCUAUUCUGUUCAGCUAUUUAAAAAAUGUUGAAUAUCAACAAUGGCUUUCACUGGUGUAUUGUCAACUUUUGUAUGAAGCAAUCUUGGCUGAAUGAGAUGGGUCCCAGAGCAGGGAGGGCUUGGCUGCGGCAUGCACCGCAACACCACUGGCGCCUGCCUGGCUCUCUCUCUCUCUCUCUGCUGCAGGCAGGAUCAGGGAGGCAGGAGCAGCCGUCCCUCUAGUCCCUGUCUCAGCCCAGCCGCUGGGGUCUGCAUGGGGCUGAGAAAGCCACCCCCUCGUCAGUCCUCUCCGCGAACCCAUCCUCAUCCCAGUUUCCCCUCCCCCUGCCUCUGGCCCUGUCGUCUGGGAGCCCCCGAAGGUGUGACACCUCACACAGGGAUCGGAGAGCAGGAGCCCCGGGGGCCAGUCAGAGCUGGACAAGGUGACCACCAGCAGCACCCUCUUCUGAGGCCAGCCCAUCCAUUAUCCUGUCAACACGCCCACUUCCACACCUUACUUCGGGCUCCGCACAGAACAAUGGCUGUAAUGAAAUCAUCAGUAAUCCCCCAAAAUCAUCUCGUCACGCUCAAGGUAGCCAUGCCAACCCCAUUGGAGAUAUAUGUUUGAAGAUAAUCAUAGGAAAUCCUCCACCCAACCCAGAGAAACCCUCUCCAGGUCAGCAGCAACCCUGGAGUACCCUACUACCUGACAGUGUUUUUCAGAAGUGUGGUGAGAGAGCGGAGCGUCAGAAACAUGAAACUUAAGAUAGCAGAGUGGAAGAAGAGAACAAGUCUUUAGCACUUUGAAACCAGACACCGGGAGGUAGCAGAUCCAUUGGGUGGCUAAGGAUCAUGGGUAUAGUGCGUCACGUGUAUGUCAGUGUGUCAGCGUGUGUGUGUGGUUCAUGCGUGUGUGUGAAUGUGUGUGUGUGUUG